AUGGCUGGGAAGCAAAAUGAGAUAGAGAUUAAGUUCCGAUUGAGCGAUGGAUCGGAUAUUGGCCCGAAAAGCUAUGCUGCUGCUACUAGUAUUGCAACACUCAAAGAAAGUAUUCUUACUCAAUGGCCAAAAGACAAAGAGUAUGGACCAAGAACUGUAAAAGAUGUGAAGUUGAUUUGUGCUGGAAAAAUAUUGGAGAACAAUAAAACAGUAGAGGAAUGUCAGAGUCCAUUGUGCAAUCUUCCUGGUGGAGUUACAACAAUGCUUGUGGUGGUUCAACCACCAAAUUCGGAAAAAGAUAAGAAAGGAGGAAGUGAAGCAAGGCAAAGCAAAUGUGUUUGUGUUAUAUUAUAA